GGAUGAUCCCUGUCAGUUGGAGAUUAUUCAGUAAACAAGAUGAUAUCAUGGCACUACAUAUUCAACCCAAUUUGGACAUUUGAUGACAUCAGAAAAGGAACAAGAGAGGUGAGUGUUAUAUGAACAAACGUUUUUGGAAGCAUUGACCAAAACAAUAAACAAAACAAAACCCUCAAUUACAAGGGUGUUUGUGUGUGUGUUUUGACACAGCCAAAAAUGUUCCUGAAAGUUUCAACUCAACCCUAUGCGCUAAGUAAGUUGAAUGUUGGACUCCAUGUUUCUGUAAAGUUUUAAAUUUUCACAACCUGCUCACCUUACACUGUCAAAAUCUGCUUUUUUAGCACUUUUCUCUUGGACAUUACAUGCAAACUACUAAUGGGUGAAGAAAACUGAAACAGAUGCCAGAAAAUUAAAAUCAAUUGAUUUUCUCCAGAAGAUUAACAAGAUCUUUUAUCUUGGUGACAAACAGUUCUAUCCUAAAUAAGCAUCAAUUUGACCUCAUGGCUUUGAAAGGUUGCUAUUAAUAACCAAGUAAUAUUCAUUAAGAAUCAUGCAGUUUUCAGCAAGUUAGCUGGAUAGGUUAAACAAAGGUCUUCCAUUAUUAAAAUGAAACAGCUUGUAAGGCCUAAAGGAGGAAUCAUUAUGAAACGGUAAUCAGAUAGCAAAAUAUGCUUGGUUCUAACGGAUGCAAGGUAAUAUACAAUGAGCCAUUAGUUUUAAAUUAACUGUUGGUGUCAAAUGAAUAUAUUUAAUAAUACAAAUAGCAAUGGACAAACUCCCUAGUCUCAAUUCAGAAAGAUGCUGGCAAUUAAAAAACAAUAUUGAAGAAUGCUUCAAAAAGCUUCUUCCAUCUCCCCAUCAAGCAUUAUAAAUUUGUUCGUAAUUGCUAAUCCCACACUGAGUCCUCACACACCGUUCCUUACUUGCUGGUUGCAACUGCAGUGGUUGCAGCAAAAGGGAAGGAUGUCUCUCUUACCUGCUCUUCCUCCAGUCUGGACCAAAUGCUGUUAUGGCAGCAUCCCCUGGCACUAGGGACUUCAGAAAACAGCAUUUCACUGGGGCAUCUAAUGUCCCAGAAAAUUCAUUGAAAAUUGAAAUUGAAAAGAACCCGCAAGGAAAAUACAUCCUGUCUGCAUCGCCUUCUCCCCAUUUCCAGCCAUGUCUAAUUAGGAGUUUAAACGAUCAUACUGCUGCCACUUUCAGGUGGCUUGGGGCCACCACCUCUCACAGUGAGGGAUUGAUUAUCUUCUUGCCUCAACCUGCUGUCCCACUCUUACUCAGUUUCAUGAUCCAGUGUGCAGGUGGUUGCCCAAACCUAUCCAAGUACUAUGUCCCCAUUCUCAGACCACACCAAGUGAAACACAUCCAACAAAAUACCACUAACCAUUGCAGUUGACACCUCAAACCGUUGACUUGCUACAACAGUGCAAUUCUGGUGGAUGCAAGCAAUUUUAUCCCCAAAUUGCUUCACAGACAAGUCACAAUGCACCUCCAAUAGUUUCCACCCCUCAGUUGGGCCAGAACGUUGCAUGCUCUGGAUCAAUCAGGAAAGCUGCACAAGACAACCCGAGAAAAUACAGUGGCCUUCACUGCUGCCAAAUAGGCUCUAAAAUGAGACUGCACUAGUGUCUGGUUGCAAAAUAUUGUAGUACUGUAUAUGUAUGCUUGACCCAUCUGUAAAGGUAAUAUGUAUAGAGAUGCAAGCCCUGAAGGCCAGAGAGGAUUCUGGAAGCCUAAAGACAUCUGUGUCUUUGGAGAUGAGUCAUUCUGAGAGAAGGUUUUUGAGAGGCCUGUAUUAUGUGAGCAUAAGUUGAGAAAUACAACACCUGUUGUUUGCCUCAACUGGAUUACUGUCUUCUCAGAAAAAUGCCUGUCUGGCUAAGCUGCUGUAGGCCACAAAGCUACUUAAGAAUAUGUUAAUUUUGUGGAAGGAGCAAUCUCCAGAUUCUUGUAGCCCAGUUUAUUAUUUUGGGAGCUUCUGCAGAUUUGGAAGAAUGUCUGUUUCUUUUCUUUCUUUUCUUUUGUUUCAUUUCCGGAUUGCCACCAUUUAGCUAGGCAAGUAGGUUGAUCAGCAAGGAACAAUUUGAUACCUCUUCCCUGACUUAUACCAGCCUGGCUGACCAAAAAUCAGUUGUCCACUUGCAGUCAGUCCACCUGGCUGCAUCAGGGGAAAGGAGAGAGAGUAAGGCCUUCUUCAUCAGUCUAUCAUUUGGUUCCAUGCCCUCCUAAGACUGUCUCCUCCAGUUAGUAUGGAUUCACAGCCACAUUGAAAAAAUAAAGAGGACACAAAAACCCAAAGAAUAAAAACAACUGGAAUAUUUCAGUAGCUCUGUCACUAACAAGUUGCCUAUACCAGUUAUCCAUCAGGAGAUCAGUUGGAAGAAGCCUUGACAGAUAUAAAAAGACACAACCCAGAUAACAGAUUUGAACCAGAUGGCUAAAGGAACAAGCCAAGUUUGAUACUGUUUUUGUUUUGGAAGAUGGCCUGAAGGCUUUUGAUGUUGAAAGAAAGAGUAAAAAUAUAUCAGACCUCACCAGAAUGGUCAAAACACAUGAAAAUUGUCCCCAGGAUUUUAAGUACAUUGGUUCCUGAAUUAUGAUGGUGAUGAUAAUGAUAUUUCAAUAUAUAUUACUCCCAGAGGAGCCCAGGGCAGCAAACACAUCAUCAUCGUUUUUUAAGCAUUCUAGAGACAAUUAAAAUACAGUGGUACCUCUAGUUACAAACUUAAUUUGUUCUGGAGGUCUGUUCUUAACCUGCGGCGUGCUUUUGUCAAUGUGGCCUUCCGCUGCCGCUGCGCCACCAACACGCAAUUUCCGUUCUCAUCCUGGGGAAAGUUCGCAACCCAAGGUACUACUUCCAGGUUAGCGGAGUUUGUAACCCAAAACGUUUGUAACUCAAAGCAUUUGUAUUCCAAGGUACCACUGUAUUCUAUAAACAGUUCAAAAUAUUAUCUCAAUACCAUAUUAACAGGAACAGGAAAAACCCUUUUAACCUAUCUGAGCUAGGCAGCUAGAAGGCAGGGCAGGGUCGGAUACACAGGAGGGGAGACCUAUUAGGAACUGCCCUCCUUCCAGGUCCUGCUGGGUAUUUGCUCUCCUAUAACAUAACUGGAGAUUACUCAUUAUAUUUCAAGUUGUGAAGAAAUUUAAAACCUGCCCCAAGGUGCGUGUGUGUCUGCCUGCUUAGCAAGAGAUGUGUAUCCCCAGAGUCUGGUUCAGCACAAAACCUUUAAUCUUGGAUUUGUUACAGGUUUCUGACUGACAGUGAGCUAUUGGAAUGGCCUAAAGAAGGAGAGCUCUGUGUGUUUCUUUUUGAGGAAUUAUAGAUGGGCAAACAUGGACUGCAUUAACUUGAAAUAGUGUGGGG